rnacentral:tRNA from 2 species
GGGUCGAUGCCCGAGUGGUUAAAGGGAACGGAUUGUAAAUCCGUCGGUAAACACCUACGUAGGUUCAAAUCCUACUCGGCCCA